UAUGGCGGGGGCAGGAGUCAGGGCCAGCAACCUUGAACUGUUUCUUGAGGCAGGUGUGAAGGAAGUUCAUAGCUCUGCCGGGCAGUGGAUCCCGUCGGCAAUGCGUUACCGUAAUCCGGGGCUCUCCAUGUCAACAGACCCGGACGCGGAUGAAUAUUCGCGCUAUGCCGUCGACGCAACCGCCGUUGCGCAAAUGAAGGCGAUUAUCGCGCGCCGCGCCGAAUAACCGAUUUUUACCGCGCAUCAUGUCGCCCAAUGUGAUGUUUGCUUGUACCAGGCCCCUGCCAAUUCAACAGGGGCCUUUUUUU
rnacentral:ncRNA from 1 species